CGACCUUAAAUUAAUAUAUAUCAGUCUUUUAAAGUGAUUCCCUUGUAACAUUGUGGCUGACCACACGGGAGUCUAAAGAAUCCUCUCAAUAAAACUUUUUCCUUGCCUUUUUACUAUACUGUUUCACCACUUAGUCCUUUUUUUUUAAAAAAAAAAAAAAAAAAAAAAAAAAAAAAAAAAAAAAAGAAAAAAAAGGAAGCAUCCGAACCCUUUCCCUGUCCUCUAAGCUCUUUCCUCCAAGAUGUGCUCUUCUGCCCCUUAAACUCAUCCAGUACUCACCGCUAACAAAUUUCUCACGCUGUCCGAUGGCGUCAGAAGCAGUCUAAAGUUCCGAGCGAGGCCAUGACUCUGUUUCUCCCCAUUUUUCCCCAAUUCCUUCCUCGGGCUGCUUGCGUUGCGCCUCCAACAGCUGUCCCCCACCAU
rnacentral:lncRNA from 1 species